rnacentral:rRNA from 1 species
CAGGCGUCGAGCGGCGGACGGGUGAGUAACACUUAGGAAUCUACCUAGUAGUGGGGGAUAGCUCGGGGAAACUCGAAUUAAUACCGCAUACGACCUACGGGAGAAAGGGGGCAACUUGUUGCUCUCGCUAUUAGAUGAGCCUAAGUCGGAUUAGCUAGAUGGUGGGGUAAAGGCCUACCAUGGCGACGAUCUGUAGCUGGUCUGAGAGGAUGAUCAGCCACACCGGAACUGAGACACGGUCCGGACUCCUACGGGAGGCAGCAGUGGGGAAUAUUGGACAAUGGGGGCAACCCUGAUCCAGCCAUGCCGCGUGUGUGAAGAAGGCCUUUUGGUUGUAAAGCACUUUAAGCAGUGAAGAAGACCUAACGGUUAAUACCCGUUAGCGAUGACAUUAGCUGCAGAAUAAGCACCGGCUAACUCUGUGCCAGCAGCCGCGGUAAUACAGAGGGUGCAAGCGUUAAUCGGAAUUACUGGGCGUAAAGCGAGCGUAGGUGGCUUGAUAAGUCAGAUGUGAAAUCCCCGGGCUUAACCUGGGAACUGCAUCUGAUACU